CAAACACAUCCAGUUGGCAGUUAGCAGCGAUCAAUAUGAAAUGUACCGUUCAGGUCAUUUGAUGACAGUUGUUAAAAACAUUGUUCUUGGAGAAUACACGAUGGUGGAAAUGGCUUUAAUGUUGGUAGUACCGG